GGCGUCGUAGCCAAGUGGCUAAGGCAUCGGAUUGCAAAUCCGACAUCCCCGGUUCGAAUCCGGGCGACGCCUC
rnacentral:tRNA from 1 species